rnacentral:lncRNA from 1 species
GGCCCCUUUUAGCAACACUGUCUUUCUCCCCACAGAUAGGGCAUCUCCACCCUGGCUGUUCCAAGGACGUAGUGGUGACCUUGAAGUCAGAGUCGCCCAUCACCCUGAAGAAGAUGUGUGUGAAGUGCAAGCUUUCCAAGAUCAUGUUUCAGCUCCCUGUAGACCAGGUCCCCGACUGGGAUGACCGCAUGCGCACAGUCAAGUGGGUGGAUGCUCCCCGAAAUACACCUGGGAACCUGACUACAAAACGAAAGGUCAUAGAGACGGACCCCGAGCCAGCCCACUCGGUGGUAGAAGAAAAUUACCGAGAGUUGCGGAUCCAGUUCAGUGCCAACGUGGAUUUUGCUUCCUAUAAGUGUGAAACGAGUGAAGUGUUCUUUAAGGAAACACUGGUUUACCAGACCCGAGUAUUUGAGUUUGACCUUGUUAACACAGGACAGGUGCUGUUAGAAUUCUGCUGGAUCUCAGAAGAAGUCUCCAAGAUAGUCAGUUUCGCCAUGCCAGAGAAUCCAGGUUCCAGUCAAAAAGAUCAGCUAAGUCAGGGGACGGGCAGCUCCCUAGACAGUGCCCUGGACCACUGGACUGAAGCC